GAUGAAGAACGCAGCGAAAUGCGAUAAGUAAUGUGAAUUGCAGAAUUCAGUGAAUCAUCGAAUCUUUGAACGCACAUUGCGCCCGCUAGUAUUCUGGCGGGCAUGCCUGUCCGAGCGUCAUUUCAACCCUCAAGCCCCCGGGCUUGGUGUUGGGGAUCGGCGAGCCUCCGCGCCCGCCGUCCCCUAAAUCUAGUGGCGGUCUCGCUGUAGCUUCCUCUGCGUAGUAGCACACCUCGCACUGGGAAACAGCGCGGCCACGCCGUUAAACCCCCAACUUCUGAACGUUUGACCUCGGAUCAGGUAGGAAUACCCGCUUAACUUAAGCAUAUCAAUAAGCGGAGGA
rnacentral:misc_RNA from 1 species